AUUGAACGCUGGCGGCAUGCCUUACACAUGCAAGUCGAACGGCAGCGGACCUUCGGGUGCCGGCGAGUGGCGAACGGGUGAGUAAUAUAUCGGAACGUACCUUUCAGUGGGGGAUAACGUAGCGAAAGCUACGCUAAUACCGCAUAUUCUGUGAGCAGGAAAGCAGGGGAUCGCAAGACCUUGCGCUGAUUGAGCGGCCGAUAUCAGAUUAGCUAGUUGGUGAGGUAAAGGGCUCACCAAGGCGACGAUCUGUAGCGGGUCUGAGAGGAUGAUCCGCCACACUGGAACUGAGACACGGUCCAGACUCCUACGGGAGGCAGCAGUGGGGGAAUUUUGGACAAUGGGCGCAAGCCUGAUCCAGCCAUGCCGCGUGAGUGAAGAAGGCCUGG
rnacentral:rRNA from 1 species